rnacentral:rRNA from 1 species
GUGGGGAAUAUUGGACAAUGGGCGAAAGCCUGAUCCAGCCAUGCCGCGUGUGUGAAGAAGGUCUUCGGAUUGUAAAGCACUUUAAGUUGGGAGGAAGGGCAGUAAGUUAAUACCUUGCUGUUUUGACGUUACCGACAGAAUAAGCACCGGCUAACUUCGUGCCAGCAGCCGCGGUAAUACGAAGGGUGCAAGCGUUAAUCGGAAUUACUGGGCGUACAGCGCGCGUAGGUGGUUUUGUAAGUUGGAGGUGAAAUCCCCGGGCUCAACCUGGGAACUGCAUCCAAAACUGCAUGACUAGAGUACGGUAGAGGGUAGUGGAAUUUCCUGUGUAGCGGUGAAAUGAGUAGAUAUAGGAAGGAACACCAGUGGCGAAGGCGACUACCUGGACUGAUACUGACACUGAGGUGCGAAAGCGUGAGGAGCAAACAGGAUUAGAUACCCGGGUAGUCC